AGCGAACGCUGGCGGCAGGCCUAACACAUGCAAGUCGAACGAACCUUUCGGGGUUAGGGGCGGACGGGUGAGUAACACGUGGGAACGUGCCUUUAGGUUCGGAAUAACUCAGGGAAACUUGUGCUAAUACCGAAUGUGCCCUUCGGGGGAAAGAUUUAUCGCCUUUAGAGCGGCCCGCGUCUGAUUAGCUAGUUGGUUGAGGUAAUGGCUCACCAAGGCGACGAUCAGUAGCUGGUCUGAGAGGAUGAUCAGCCACAUUGGGACUGAGACACGGCCCAAACUCCUACGGGAGGCAGCAGUGGGGAAUCUUGCGCAAUGGGCGAAAGCCUGACGCAGCCAUGCCGCGUGAAUGAUGAAGGUCUUAGGAUUGUAAAAUUCUUUCACCGGGGACGAUAAUGACGGUACCCGGAGAAGAAGCCCCGGCUAACUUCGUG
rnacentral:rRNA from 1 species